rnacentral:rRNA from 1 species
UACGUAGGGUGCAAGCGUUAUCCGGAAUUAUUGGGCGUAAAGAGCUCGUAGGCGGUUUGUCGCGUCUGCUGUGAAAACUGGAGGCUCAACCUCCAGCCUGCAGUGGGUACGGGCAGACUAGAGUGCGGUAGGGGAGAUUGGAAUUCCUGGUGUAGCGGUGGAAUGCGCAGAUAUCAGGAGGAACACCAAUGGCGAAGGCAGGUCUCUGGGCCGUAACUGACGCUGAGGAGCGAAAGCAUGGGGAGCGAACAGG